CCAUGAAACAUGUACAAGAUUGUCUUGGACAAAAUGCCAGAAAACACACAAUGAUUCUAUUCACUGGAGGGGAUAAUUUGGAGGGCAAACCUGUUGAAAUCUUCAUUCAAGAGAACCAGGAUCUCAGUAAAUUUGUGGAAAUACUUAAAAACAGAUACCAUGCACUCAAUAACAGAGACACCAGCAAUAAGACCCAAGUGGAUGAACUGCUGAAGAAGAUUAAUCACAUGUACAAACAAAAUAAUAAAGAAUUUUGCACAAAAUAGCAAGGAGAUUUCGAUCAAGACAUGCAAGUAGCUUGGAUCCAACAUGUACAUAAUAAUUAGAGGAGCAGUUACACCAUAAUAUUGCAAUUAGUCCCUCAAGACCAUCAUGAGAUGCAACAUGUGAAAUGACCAUCAGCUCACUCCCUGUGUCUGUGUGUGUGUGUGUGUGUGUGUGUGUGUGCGUGUGUGUGUGUGUGUGUGUGUGUGUGUGUGUAAUGUACUAUACUGUGUAUUGCUAUCCAGACCUGUUCUUUGUUGUUGUAUGAUUGCAUUUUUAAUGUAAACCAAUGUAUACAUUACAGUAGCUUUAGCCUAGCACUUAAUCCAGGUCUUAUAGUUAGUUGGGGCUUGCAGUGUUCACCCAACAGCUAUUUUGUAGUUGUUUGUUUUUAUGUAGGAUAGUUUGUUGUGCAGCAAUUUUUGAUGUCAGCUCCUCAAACAUAAACAAAAAUGAAAGCAUAUAUUUUUUACUUUCUAUUGCCAUUACAGUGCCAUUAGAAAGUUUGUGAACACUUUACAAUUUUCCGUGUUUCUGCAUAAAUUUGACCUGAAAUCAGAUCAGGUCUUAAAAUUAAUGAAUCCAGUCCUAAAAGUAGAUAAAGAGAACCCAGUUAAACAAUUGACACAAACAUAGUUUUUUGUUUGUUUUUGUUUUACAUCUAUUUAUUGAGCGAAAUUAUCCAACAUUAAAUAUCUUUGUUGGAAAAAGUAUGUGAACCUCUAGGAGUAUGAGUUAAUUUAAAGGGUUUAGUGAAGUCAAGUUUUUACAGAAAAACAGAAAAUAUGCAAAAGGUUUACAAACUUUCUAGUGGCACUACAUAUGUUAAAAUGUGUCUGGGACAUAUGAUCCAAUGAUUCCUUUCUACAAUUAGAGAUGUCUUUGAUUUUAUGAUGCUUGUAUUUUUGUUAUUAAUCAUCAAAAUAUUUUUUUUGAAAGAUUAAACUUUUAAUUUUUUGUGCUGUGUCUUAUGGCAAUACACACACAACUGUAUCAUAAUUCAACAGAUAAGCUGUAAAAGAAAACAGUUCUUCUUUUUGCUUCCAUAUUGUGUAUAUCAUUAAAUGCAUAUCAUUAAAUGUGGA